rnacentral:rRNA from 1 species
UACGGAGGGUGCAAGCGUUAUCCGGAUUCACUGGGUUUAAAGGGUGCGUAGGCGGGUUGGUAAGUCCGUGGUGAAAUCCCCAAGCUUAACUUGGGAGCUGCCGUGGAUACUAUCAGUCUUGAAUAUCGUGGAGGUAAGCGGAAUAUGUCAUGUAGCGGUGAAAUGCUUAGAUAUGACAUAGAACACCAAUUGCGUAGGCAGCUUACUACACGAUCAUUGACGCUGAGGCACGAAAGCGUGGGGAGCAAACAGG